UGGGGAAUCUUGGACAAUGGGGGCAACCCUGAUCCAGCCAUGCCGCGUGAGUGAUGAAGGCCUUAGGGUCGUAAAGCUCUUUCGCCUGUGAAGAUAAUGACGGUAGCAGGUAAAGAAACCCCGGCUAACUCCGUGCCAGCAGCCGCGGUAAUACGGAGGGGGUUAGCGUUGUUCGGAAUUACUGGGCGUAAAGCGCACGUAGGCGGACCAGAAAGUUGGGGGUGAAAUCCCGGGGGCUCAACCCCGGAACUGCCUCCAAAACUAUUGGUCUAGAGUUCGAGAGAGGUGAGUGGAAUACCGAGUGUAGAGGUGAAAUUCGUAGAUAUUAGGUGGAACACCAGUGGCGAAGGCGCCUAACUGGUCCGGUACUGACGCUGAGGAACGAAAGCGUGGGGAGCAAACAGGAUUAGAUACCCUGGUAGUCCACACCGUAAACGAUGAAUGCCAGUCGUCGGGUAGCAUGCUAUUCGGUGACACACCUAACGGAUUAAGCAUUCCGCCUGGGGAGUACGGUCGC
rnacentral:rRNA from 1 species